AGGGUGUAGGGCGGAUGCCUUGGCACUAGGAGCCGAUGAAAGACGUGAUAAGCUGCGAUAAGCUUCGGGGAGUGGCACAUACACUUUGAUCCGGAGAUUUCUGAAUGAGGAAACUCACUUGGAGUAAUGUCCAAGUAUCCAUAGGUGAAUACAUAGCCUAUGGAGGGGAACUCAGGGAACUGAAACAUCUAAGUACCUGAAGGAAGAGAAAGAAAUUCGAUUCCGCUAGUAGCGGCGAGCGAACGCGGAAGAGCCCAAACCAAGUCAGUUUACUGAUUUGGGGUUGCGGACAUAUCUUAAGGAAAGGUUAUUGCGAGUAGAAUAGGUCUGGAAAGACCAACCAUAGAGGGUAAAAGUCCCGUAUACAAAGCCAAGAAAGUUCUUGAUAUGAUCCAGAGUACCACGAGACACGUGAAACCUUGUGGGAAGCAGGGGGGACCACCCUCCAAGGCUAAAUACUACCUAGUGACCGAUAGCGAAUAGUACCGUGAGGGAAAGGUGAAAAGAACCCCGGGAGGGGAGUGAAAUAGAACCUGAAACCCUACACUUACAAGCUGUGGGAGCGCAUUAUUCGCGUGACCGCGUACUUUUUGUAGAACGGGCCAACGAGUUACGUUAUGUGGCAAGGUUAAGCACUUAAGGUGUGGAGCCGAAGCGAAAGCGAGUCUUAACUGGGCGCCAUAGUCACAUGACGUAGACCCGAAACCGGGCGACCUACCCAUGAGCAGGAUGAAGCGAAAGUAAAAUUUCGUGGAGGUCCGAACCCACGUACGUUGAAAAGUGCGGGGAUGACUUGUGGGUAGCGGUGAAAUUCCAAUCGAGCUCGGAGAUAGCUGGUUCUCCCCGAAAUAGCUUUAGGGCUAGCCUUGAAAUUUAGAGAUGUGGAGGUAGAGCACUGAAUGUCCUAGGGGGUAUUGCACUUACCGAAGACUAUCAAACUCCGAAUGCCAUUAUCUUUUGUUCAGGAGUCAGACUAUGGGUGAUAAGGUUCAUAGUCGAAAGGGAAAGAGCCCAGACCGUCAGCUAAGGUCCCUAAAUGUAUGUUAAGUGGUAAAGGAUGUGGGAUUGCACAGACAACCAGGAUGUUGGCUUAGAAGCAGCCACUCAUUUAAAGAGUGCGUAAUAGCUCACUGGUCGAGUGAUCCUGCGCCGAAGAUUUCCGGGGCUAAAACAUACUACCGAAGCUACGGCAUCAUAUGAUGAUGGGUAGGGGAGCUUCCCAUGCAGGCUGAAGCGAUACCGUAAGGAGUCGUGGACAGUAUGGGAGAGAGAAUGUUGGCAUGAGUAGCGAGAUGAGGGUGAGAAUCCCUCAGGCCGUAAACCCAAGGUUUCCAGGGGAAGGUUCGUCCUCCCUGGGUUAGUCGGGACCUAAGCUCAGGCCGAAAGGCGUAGGCGAUGGACAACAGGUUGAGAUUCCUGUACUACCGAUAAUCGUUUGAGAGAAGGGAUGACACAGUAGGAUAAGCUGAGCACACUGUUGGUUAUGUGUGUCUAAGCGUUGAGGCAGACUAGAUAGGCAAAUCCGUUUAGUUAAUGCUGGGGCGCGAUGGGGAGCGAAACUAAGUAGCGAAGCAGCUGAUUUCACACUGUCGAGAAAAGUCUCUAUCGAGAUUAAAGGUACCCGUACCGCAAACCGACACAGGUGGGUGAGGAGAGUAUCCUAAGGCCAGCGAGAGAACUGUUGUUAAGGAACUCGGCAAAAUGACCCCGUAACUUAGGGAUAAGGGGUGCCCCAGCAAUGGGGCCGCAGAGAAUUGGCCCAAGCGACUGUUUACCAAAAACAUAGGUUUCUGCUAAGUCGCAAGACGAUGUAUAGGAGCUGACGCCUGCCCGGUGCUGGAAGGUUAAGGGGAUCUGUUAGAGCAAUCGAAGCAGUGAUCUUAAGCCCCAGUAAACGGCGGCCGUAACUAUAACGGUCCUAAGGUAGCGAAAUUCCUUGUCGGGUAAGUUCCGACCCGCACGAAAGGCGUAACGAUUUGGGCACUGUCUCAACAACAGACUCGGUGAAAUUGUAAUCCCGGUGAAGAUGCCGGGUACCUGCGACAGGACGGAAAGACCCCAUGGAGCUUUACUGUAGCUUGACAUUGGGUUUCGAUACUACAUGUACAGGAUAGGUGGGAGACUAAGAAAUCAGGGCGUCAGUUUUGAUGGAGUCAUCCUUGGGAUACCACCCUUGUAGUAUUGGGACUCUAACCAUAGGCCAUGAAUCUGGUCUUGGGACACUGUCUGGUGGGCAGUUUGACUGGGGCGGUCGCCUCCCAAAAGGUAACGGAGGCGCUCAAA
rnacentral:rRNA from 1 species